UUUAGACACUCUAGCAAAUUGCGUCAUAUAUUUUGUGGCUACAUUUGUUAGGAAAACUUAUUGCAUUGCUUUCCCCUUGGGGAACACCACUGAGCUUUGGUACACUGAUAAAUGAGGCCUGGAUUAAAACCCAAACUUGACAUGAAAACCAAAUCCUGGAGCCGGGCGAGACGGAGCAGUUGAGGAAAGCAGUAAAUGGAUUACUCUGGACCUAUCAGGUCGCUUUGGGAUUGUUCACACAGAAGUCUGUCUGCGGUCGCAUCAUUCAGUAGUAUGAACAACUACACGGACAUUGGAAUUAAGCAUGAAGACCUACUGUGUUAAUGUAGUCUCAAGAAAAUCAAGAAAAUCAAUUUUAAAAUGAUUCAUUUUCACUGUACAGGAUGCCUGCACUGUAAUGAGGAGGAGGAGAUUGAUAUAUCAAUAAUUUUGCAGCACA